UUCAUCUCACCUUUUGGACAUGGGCUGAAGCCCUUAGACGUGGCCUUCAUGAAAGCCAUACACAACAAGGUGAACAUCGUGCCUGUCAUUGCGAAGGCCGACACUCUCACUCUGAAGGAGCGGGAGCGGUUGAAGAAGAGGAUUCUGGAUGAAAUUGAAGAACAUAACAUCAAAAUCUAUCACUUACCUGAUGCAGAGUCAGAUGAAGAUGAAGAUUUUAAAGAGCAGACAAGACUCCUCAAGGCCAGCAUCCCGUUCUCUGUGGUGGGGUCCAACCAGCUGAUCGAAGCCAAAGGCAAGAAGGUCCGAGGGCACCUCUACCCGUGGGGUGUGGUGGAGGUGGAGAACCCUGAGCACAACGACUUUCUGAAGCUGCGGACGAUGCUCAUCACUCACAUGCAGGACCUCCAGGAGGUGACCCAGGACCUUCACUAUGAAAACUUCCGUUCCGAGAGGCUCAAGAGAGGCGGCAGGAAAGUGGAGAACGAGGACAUGAAUAAAGAUCAGAUCUUGCUGGAAAAGGAAGCUGAACUCCGCCGUAUGCAAGAGAUGAUUGCGAGGAUGCAGGCGCAGAUGCAGAUGCAGAUGCAAGGCGGUGACGGGGACAGCGGGGCGCUCGGGCACCACGUGUGAGAAAACGCUCUUGGAUACAAAGAAGAACACAUUCCUGAUGAAUGCCACAUCGCAACUUUCCAUAAGAUCCUUAGAAGGGUGCCCAUCUACAUUUACAACACCUGUGCCUGAGAAUUUAAUUUUUUUAAACUAUUGGUG